rnacentral:miRNA from 1 species
AUGUAGCGAGCUGAGUGGGGAGGAGAGAGGGACAGAGAGCCUGCUUGCUUUAAAGGAACCAACUGGACAGGAGCCGAUUACACUCGUGUAAGCGGCUCCUCUCCUCUCCCGCUUUGCUCCUUUAAAGAAGCAGGCUCUCUGUCCCUCUCUCCUCCCCACUCAGCGGCUCUUCUC